rfam:Triticum aestivum genome assembly, contig: Triticum_aestivum_CS42_TGACv1_scaffold_019185_1AS
AAUGUACUCCCUUCGUCCGAAAAUACUUGUCAUCAAAAUGGAUAAAAAGAGAUGUAUCUAGAACUAAAAUACAUCUAGAUACAACCCCUUUUAUUCAUUUUGAUGACAAGUAUUUCCGGACGGAGGGAGUACUUU